ACGGGAGGCAGCAGUGGGGAAUAUUGGGCAAUGGGCGAAAGCCUGACCCAGCAACGCCGCGUGAAGGAAGAAGGUCUUCGGAUUGUAAACUUCUUUUAUGAGGGACGAAGGACGUGACGGUACCUCAUGAAUAAGCCACGGCUAACUACGUGCCAGCAGCCGCGGUAAUACGUAGGUGGCAAGCGUUAUCCGGAUUUACUGGGUGUAAAGGGCGCGUAGGCGGGGAUGCAAGUCAGAUGUGAAAUCCAUGGGCUUAACUCAUGAACUGCAUUUGAAACUGUAUCUCUUGAGUACUGGAGAGGUAGAUGGAAUUCCUUGUGUAGCGGUGAAAUGCGUAGAUAUAAGGAAGAACACCAGUGGCGAAGGCGAUCUACUGGACAGUAACUGACGCUGAGGCGCGAAAGCGUGGGGAGCAAACAGGAUUAGAUACCCUGGUA
rnacentral:rRNA from 1 species